rnacentral:rRNA from 1 species
CCUACGGGAGGCAGCAGUGAGGAAUAUUGGUCAAUGGACGAGAGUCUGAACCAGCCAAGUAGCGUGAAGGAUGACUGCCCUAUGGGUUGUAAACUUCUUUUAUAUGGGAAUAAAACGUUCCACGUGUGGGAUUUUGUAUGUACCAUAUGAAUAAGGAUCGGCUAACUCCGUGCCAGCAGCCGCGGUAAUACGGAGGAUCCGAGCGUUAUCCGGAUUUAUUGGGUUUAAAGGGAGCGUAGGUGGAUUGUUAAGUCAGUUGUGAAAGUUUGCGGCUCAACCGUAAAAUUGCAGUUGAAACUGGCAGUCUUGAGUGCAGUAGAGGUGGGCGGAAUUCGUGGUGUAGCGGUGAAAUGCUUAGAUAUCACGAAGAACUCCGAUUGCGAAGGCAGUUCACUGGACUGCAACUGACACUGAGGCUCGAAAGUGUGGGUAUCAAACAGGAUUAGAUACCCCAGUAGUC